rnacentral:rRNA from 1 species
CGUAGGUGAACCUGCGGAGUCCCGCUCCUAACAACCAAAGGCGCGGGAUGCGCCAAGGAAAAUCGAAACGAAUCUGACUCCUGCCUCGGUGCAUUGCAUCGUGUCGGCGAGUGUAUUCGAUAAGUCAUAACGACUCUCGGCAACGGAUAUCUCGGCUCUCGCAUCGAUGAAGAACGUAGCAAAAUGCGAUACGUGGUGUGAAUUGCAGGAUCCCGUGAACCAUCGAGUUUUUGAACGCAAGUUGCGCCCGAAGCCUUUAGGCCGAGGGCACGUCUGCCUGGGCGUCACGCACCGUUGCCCCCCAAACCCCCUCAGUCCUCCACGGAGGAUUGGCGAGGCGCGUGGGGGGCGUAAAGUGGCUUCCCGUCGGCUUUGUCCCGCGGUUGGCCUAAAAAUGAAUCCCUAGCCGCGGUGCGCGCGGCAUUCGGUGGUCAUCGAUCCCUUUCGUUACCCCGCCGCGCGCUCACGUGCCGCGAAGGAUGUCACACUAGUAAACCCGACGCCUCGCUUUGUGAAGAGCGGAGCUUACAACGCGACCCCAGGUCAGGCGGGGCUACCCGCUGAA